rnacentral:lncRNA from 1 species
AGUAACCAAGAAUUCCACAUUUCACCCUUUUAGAAUAUGAUUGCCACGUGAACUAUUGCUUAGAGUAGUUAGUCAUCAAAAAGAAUUGUAUAACUUUACUUGGGUAUAGAUCAAGGAAUUUGAUCAAGGUAUUCUUAAAAAUUCGCUUUCGUGGAAAAAUUUGCCAGCGGAUGUCUAUACACCCAUUUGAGUUGGUGAUUUAGUUCCUUCUGAAUUUUUCUUGGGCCUUUUUAGAUCCUCUCUCCUCCUAGUACAAAGGAGGAAUAGGUCUAAAAUAGAUACUACCUAUCCAG